rnacentral:rRNA from 1 species
GGCCUACACAUGCAAGCCGAGCGGUAGAAGAUCUUCGGAUCUUUGAGAGCGGCGCACGGGUGCGGAACACGUGUGCAACCUGCCUUUAUCUGGGGGAUAGCCUUUCGAAAGGAAGAUUAAUACCCCAUAAUAUAUUUGAUGGCAUCAUUAGAUAUUGAAAACUCCGGUGGAUAGAGAUGGGCACGCGCAAGAUUAGAUAGUUGGUGAGGUAACGGCUCACCAAGUCAAUGAUCUUUAGGGGGCCUGAGAGGGUGAUCCCCCACACUGGUACUGAGACACGGACCAGACUCCUACGGGAGGCAGCAGUGAGGAAUAUUGGACAAUGGGUGAGAGCCUGAUCCAGCCAUCCCGCGUGAAGGACGACUGCCCUAUGGGUUGUAAACUUCUUUUAUACUGGGAUAAACCUACCCUCGUGAGGGUAGCUGAAGGUACAGUAUGAAUAAGCACCGGCUAACUCCGUGCCAGCAGCCGCGGUAAUACGGAGGGUGCAAGCGUUAUCCGGAUUUAUUGGGUUUAAAGGGUCCGUAGGCGGACUCGUAAGUCAGUGGUGAAAUCUCAUAGCUUAACUAUGAAACUGCCAUUGAUACUGCGGGUCUUGAGUAAAGUAGAAGUGGCUGGAAUAAGUAGUGUAGCGGUGAAAUGCAUAGAUAUUACUUAGAACACCAAUUGCGAAGGCAGGUCACUAUGUUUUAACUGACGCUGAUGGAACGAAAGCGUGGGGAGCGAAACAGGAUUAGAUACCCUGGUAG